GAAAUGCGAUAAGUAAUGUGAAUUGCAGAAUUCCGUAAAUCAUCGAAUCUUUGAACGCACAUUGCGCCCUCUGGUAUUCCGGGGGGCAUGCCUGUCCGAGCGUCAUUGCGAACCCCUCAAGCACGGCUUGUGUGAUGGGCCCUCCCGCGUCUUGGUCGUCAAGACGGGCCCGAAAUGCAGUGGCGGCUUCGCGGUUAUCCGAUCAGCCAGAGCGUAUGGGGACUUUCUCUCUGUCACACGCCCGCGGCGCGGACCGACGCCUGUCGACCUUCAUUCAUCGUUUUCUCGGUUGACCUCGGAUCAGGUAGGGAUACCCGCUGAACUUAAGC
rnacentral:misc_RNA from 1 species